rnacentral:rRNA from 1 species
CCGGGAAACGGGGGUUAAUACCGGAGAGGUCAAAGGAUGAAAGGUUUACUGCCUGAAGAAGGGCUCCCGUCUGAUUAGCUAGUAGGUUGGGUAAGACCGCACCUAGGCCACCAUUAUUAGGUGGGCUGAAAAGAUGAGCACCCCCACUGGGACUGAAAACCGGCCCAAACCCCCACGGGGGGGAGCGGUGGGGAAUUUUCCACAAUGGGCGAAAGCCUGACGGAGAAGGACCGGGGGGGGGAAGAAGGCCUUUGGGUUGUAAACCCCUUUUGUUAGGGAAAAAAAAAAUGACGGUCCCUAAAUUAUCCCCCUCGGAAAAAUCCGUGCCACCCGCCGGGGUAAUACGGGGGAGGCUUGUUUCCUCCAUUUUUAUGGGGCGUAAGGCGCCCGUGGGUGCCCCGGAGGGUCUGCUGUAAAAGACCACAUCUCACCUGUG